UACCUAUUCGAAGGGAUAGGGUCGGUUCGGCCGGAUUUUACACAWGUGUUGCAUGGCUGUCGUCAGCUCGUGUCGUGAGAUGUUGGGUUAAGUCCCGCAACGAGCGCAACCCUCAUCCUUAGUUGCUAUCAGGUAAUGCUGAGUACUUUAAGGAAACUGCCAGUGAUAAGCUGGAGGAAGGUGGGGAUGAUGUCAAGUCAUCAUGGCCUUUAUGGAGUGGGCUACACACGUGCUACAAUGGUGUCUACAAUGGGCUGCAAGGUGCGCAAGCCUAAGCUAAUCCCUAAAAGACAUCUCAGUUCGGAUUGUACUCUGCAACUCGAGUACAUGAAGUUGGAAUCGCUAGUAAUCGUGGAUCAGCAUGCCACGGUGAAUACGUUCUCGGGUCUUGUACACACUGCCCGUCACGCCAUGGGAAUUGGUUUCACUCCCGAAGCU
rnacentral:rRNA from 1 species